rnacentral:rRNA from 1 species
GAUGAACGCUAGCGAUAGGCUUAACACUUGCAAGUCGAGGGGCAGCACAAGGUAGCUUGCUAUCUGGGUGGCGACCGGCGCACGGGUGCGUAACGCGUAUGCAACUUGCCCUAUACAGGAGGAUAACCCGUCGAAAGACGGACUAAUACUGCGUAUGCUCACAACUUGGCAUCAAGUGGUGAGGAAAGAAAUUCGGUAUAGGAUAGGCAUGCGUCCCAUUAGCUUGUUGGUGAGGUAACGGCUCACCAAGGCAACGAUGGGUAGGGGAACUGAGAGGUUUAUCCCCCACACUGGUACUGAGACACGGACCAGACUCCUACGGGAGGCAGCAGUGAGGAAUAUUGGUCAAUGGGCGCGAGCCUGAACCAGCCAAGUCGCGUGAAGGAUGACUGUCUUAUGGAUUGUAAACUUCUUUUAUACGGGAAUAACAAGAGUCACGUGUGACUCCCUGCAUGUACCGUAUGAAUAAGCAUCGGCUAACUCCGUG